rnacentral:lncRNA from 1 species
GAAUUGAAGCCAAAAUAUGUGAAAUGGAUACUGGAGGGCCACAGUUUAUUCAUCACAAGUUUGGGUCUAAAUAUCAGCAAUUUUUUGCAUACCAGCUUCUCUAACUGAACAGUGAACUCCAUUUGAAGUAUUUAAUACCUAAACUGAGAAGGCAUGGUGUUCCUAGAAGAGCUUGGUGUCUCCAAGUAGUGGAAUCUGAAAGCCAAUAGGCUCGUCCUCUUUCUGCUAUUGGCUAGAUGGUCAAAGAACAUCUAUUAGUCUGGAAUUUUCAGA